GACGAACGCUGGCGGCGUGCUUAACACAUGCAAGUCGAGCGAGGCCCCUCCUUCGGGAGGGUGUCCUAGCGGCGAACGGGUGAGUAACACGUGGGCAACCUGCCCUCAGCUCUGGGAUAACUCCGGGAAACCGGGGCUAAUACCGGAUACGACCUCCACGGGCAUCUGCGGAGGUGGAAAGUUUUUCGGCUGAGGAUGGGCCCGCGGCCUAUCAGCUAGUUGGUGGGGUAGUGGCCCACCAAGGCGACGACGGGUAGCCGGCCUGAGAGGGCGACCGGCCACAAUGGGACUGAGACACGGCCCAGACUCCUACGGGAGGCAGCAGUGGGGAAUAUUGCGCAAUGGGCGAAAGCCUGACGCAGCGACGCCGCGUGAGGGACGAAGGCCUUCGGGUUGUAAACCUCUUUCAGCAGGGACGAAGCGAAAGUGACGGUACCUGCAGAAGAAGCACCGGCCAACUACGUG
rnacentral:rRNA from 1 species